CUUUGUGUGCUGACCUGAUCGAGCGAUGGUUGGUGGGAAGGUCCGGCGGAAUUUCCAGCGGUAUUUGAGAGAUGUGGUCGUCUGUCCGAUUUUUUUAAUGUAUACAGCAGAGAAACUAAAUGUUUGUUUUUUAUUUUAUAUGAAGUUUCUAUUGUACGUCGCAUUAAAAAUAAUAUUAUUACACUUUGAAAAUGGUAACAAAGAUAUUUGUCAAUAAUGGUGAAACAGUUGCAACA
rnacentral:lncRNA from 1 species